UACAGAGGCCUCGAGCGUUAGGCGGAAUCACUGGGCUUAAAGCGUGUGUAGGCGGACUUCUAAGUACCUUGUGAAAGCCCCGGGCUCAACCUGGGAAUUGCUUUUGAUACUGUGUUGCUUGAGUUCGGGAGAGGUGAGUGGAAUUCCCAGUGUAGAGGUGAAAUUCGUAGAUAUUGGGAAGAACACCGGUGGCGAAGGCGGCUCACUGGACCGACACUGACGCUGAGGCGCGAAAGCGUGGGGAGCAAACAGG
rnacentral:rRNA from 1 species